rnacentral:rRNA from 1 species
GACGAACCACCCAAACGUUAUUCGGAAUUACUGGGCUUAAAGGGUGCGUAGGCGGCGCGGAAAGUCAGGUGUGAAAUCCCUCGGCUCAACCGAGGAACUGCGCUUGAAACUACCGUGCUCGAGUGAGACAGAGGUAAGCGGAACUUCGGGUGGAGCGGUGAAAUGCGUUGAUAUCCGAAGGAACACCGGUGGCGAAAGCGGCUUACUGGGUCUUUUCUGACGCUGAUGCACGAAAGCUAGGGGAGCAAAC